UGCCCCGGGGGAUAAAGGCGGCGGGAAUGUGGCUCCCUUCGGGGAGUGUUAUAGCCCGUCGUGUAAUGCCCUGGGGCGGACUGAGGAACGCGCUUCGGCACGGAUGCUGGCGUAAUGGUCAUCAAUGACCCGUCUUGAAACACGGACCAAGGAGUCGUCUUCGUAUGCGAGUGUUCGGGUGUCAAACCCCUACGCGUAAUGAAAGUGAACGUAGGUGAGAGCUUCGGCGCAUCACCGACCGAUCCUGAUGUUCUCGGAUGGAUUUGAGUAAGAGCAUACGGGGCCGGACCCGAAAGAAGGUGAACUAUGCCUGUAUAGGGUGAAGCCAGAGGAAACUCUGGUGGAGGCUCGCAGCGGUUCUGACGUGCAAAUCGAUCGUCAAAUAUGGGCAUGGGGGCGAAAGACUAAUCGAACCUUCUAGUAGCUGGUUUCCGCCGAAGUUUCCCUCAGGAUAGCAGUGUUGAACUCAGUUUUAUGAGGUAAAGCGAAUGAUUAGGGACCAGGGGGCGCUAUUUAGCCUUCAUCCAUUCUCAAACUUUAAAUAUGUAAGAAGCUCUUGUUACUUAAUUGAACGUGGGCAUUCGAAUGUAUCAACACUAGUGGGCCAUUUUUGGUAAGCAGAACUGGCGAUGCGGGAUGAACCGAACGCGAGGUUAAGGUGCCAGAGUAGACGCUCAUCAGACACCACAAAAGGUGUUAGUUCAUCUAG
rnacentral:rRNA from 1 species